UAGAUGGGGAGCAGAUGAGAUGGGAUUGUUGUGAAAUGGGGUUCAAAGAGGAGAAAUUCUAGGGGGAAAGGGGUGGGACAAAGUAUGACUUGGGCAGCGGAGCUGGGGCCUAGAGCUAUCUCCAACUUCAGCUCCAGAGUCUCUGGUUUCUGUUCAAGGACAAACGGCACAGCAUACUUUCCAAGAUCAAGAACAAAGGACCUCCAUACAGCAGAAUAGAAAAUCCACUGAUGACACCAUGCAACCAAAGGAAAUACAGCUAACAAUAACUGAAACCCUCUGGGACCAAGUACUAAUGGCUUUUAGGGAUAUACAAAAAGAGCUGCAGGAAGAUGCUCGGAUUCGAGGUAAAAAAGCAGUAUUUCAAG